UUGGGGACAGUUACAAAGUGCACUUUGAGCAUGUUGCUUUAUUUGUAUUUGACAUCUAUUUAUUGAGCCUCUACUAUGUGCCAGGUAAGUGUCCCAGGCACUGAGGAUUCAGCAGUAAAUAGCAACCCCUGCCCACAGACCUGCUAUUCUGGCUUAGGAUGUUUAUGACACCACUGAAGUUUAUGAUGUUUAUGGCACCCACCAGGAUUAUCCAAGUCACAUAGCUAAUUUAGUGCAGAACUGAGAUAAAAACUUGGGCUUACUGGUUCCCAUAAGGGCAGCACUUUUCAAACUUUCUCACUGAAAAACCCCUAAAAGAGUGUCUCAGGGAGGGCCCAAAGCAGCCAGAUGCAAAACAAAUAAAAGGAACAGAUGCAGGGACUCUCCCACCAACACUGCUGUGGCCUCUCCUCAGGGCCUGGAGGGUCACAGGGGAGCAGCCUCCCCACACUGGACACGUGGGAAGAGCGGGACAACACCUGCCCCAGAAUGCUGCUCUAGAGACACUGAAACAUCUUUGGCAACAGCAGCACUUUCUUCACAGGUCCUCGUGGCUGUCUUCCUCUUUUGCUGCUAAGUGGGUGAGUCCACAGCAAGAAGAAUCACCAUGCUCCAAGCGGAAUCCCAGCAUUCCAUGACCAGCUGACCAGCCUCAUCAGCUCUCCCAUGCACCCAGCACACAUGCUCCCUUGGCACUACCCCCUUUGCUAUCUUUCAUCUCACUCCCAUUUUUCCCGCUCGUUUUUUUUCUUUCCUGCUUCUCUCUUUCUCUCCCUCCCUCAUUAGACUAUAAGUUCUUCACAGGCAAGGCCAGCCCCUGAUGAGGCUCGGUGUUCUGGCACAACUCCUUGAUACCAGAAGAAGCCAGUAAAUGUCUGUCAGAUUAAAACAUGAACUGGAAAACACAGUUUGUUGAAAAACAGGAAAUGAAAGGCCACCCUACCACGUGCCUGCGUGUUCUUCAAGAUUGAUCCUAGCACAUUUUGCCACUUCAGGUGUCUCUGCUUCAAUUCUUCAAGUGUUUCCUGACAAUCUCUGACCUGCCUGGCUCCUCUGAGCAGAGUCACGUGACACAGAGCCCAAGGCCUUUCCGAUGCUGUGCUAAUAGCACACGGUAGCUGCAGGGGCCUGUGUUGGUUCUACAUAGCCAGCAUCCAGUCCCCUUCUGAUCUGAG
rnacentral:lncRNA from 1 species